rnacentral:lncRNA from 1 species
GGGCUUGUUUCGCCGCGCUACUUAGUAUUCUUACUGAGUGGAAAGUGGCGUCAUCUGUUUAAGGAAGAACAUCUCAACAGAUCCUGCAGCUGUGAAAUAUGCUGUCACAAAGUGCCAGUUUUUGCUUCUUCAGCACAGUGGACAUAUUGAACACCACCAAUGACUUGUUUUUCUUGCAGUCUUGUUCCUAUCUGCGUAUCAUGCAUAACAUGCUCAACGGUAGAUGCAUUAAUAAAAAUUGCCAUAUGGGCCUUGAUGACUAUUGUUGGUAUCUAGCGCAUGCCUCUUCUUUGUACCACUUUUACACUUCGAAAUUAAGCUUCGUAAUUCGACUUCCGUCACGAUUGUGAAAUCGUUUCAUUGCGUUAUGUUCUUAGUAGGAACUGUUCGCAGUACCAUCUCUUCCGCUAUCGGUACUGCUUGGAACUAAUUUUUCUACUUUAUUCGUUUCCCCAUAUCCUCAAAUGCAUACUUCGCAAAUUUGCGUUAUUACGAUCACUGUUUUUUUCUCUACAGUGCUUUGAACAGGGAGAAAUUAAUUUUAACCAUCGGUAAACUCAACAGUCGCCAGAUUCGCCGGUGGAAACGCUUUUGCUUUUUAAUCUGGAGGACCCGAGAUUUGAAUCUGAGUCCUUCAGACCAACUCUUCGAAAUGUUUAUCAUGGGGUCCUGACAGAGCCGUCGAUAUCUGUCCUCCAUAAUCCGACUGACCCCUCCGCAGGGGUGGCUAGAAUGUGGAAGGACUUGUUUCUCCCAGUCAUUUA